rnacentral:pre_miRNA from 1 species
UUUAAGUUUAUUUUUUAGUUCUUAGAUACAAUAUUUAACUCUUCGUCUUAUUUGAAUUUUUUUGUGAUUAAUAUUUUUAUUGUUAUUGGAUGGUAAAAUAUAAAUAGUACUUUAUGCGUGACAUACUUUUUAAAAUUUUUUAACAAAUUUUUGUAAUUAGACGAAUGGUCAAACGGUUGGACACAAAUUC